rnacentral:lncRNA from 1 species
UAAUGAUGGUGUGGGGAAGUGAAUGGAAUGAGGAGAGGGGCUUUCAGAGUUGACUCCACAUGGUCUCAAUGGAAAUACUUCAUAAUGAGUGUCCCAAACCAACUGAAGUAGAAGUCUACUAAUCAAGAUGAAGCAGCAAGUGGCCAAACAGCCAGUUUUUCCCCUCCAGACAACUUACUGGUUUGGAGGUAAGAUACAAGCAGAGCCUCUAAAGGACCGGUCAUGUGGGUGCUUCAUGGACAAACAACUAUUCAGGGAAGAUUAAACCAUGACCAUGCCUGCCUGAGGAAUAACUGGCUCCUGGAGGCUUUCUCAAAGAUAUCCUGGCACAAUGAGAAACCAUUGCUUUUGUCUCAGGGACUUAAAAAAAUGUUCCAGAGGCUGUUGAUGGAAGAGAUAAAUCACUUUGACAAUGGGACCAUGGGAAAACACACUACCACUUGACGCCAGAUAUUCUUAGUACCUAAUUACUGUGAUCUCAAUACAAAUGAACAGUCAAUGAGAAGAUUCCAAUGUGCUGUUUAUGUGUGUGGAUUAUGAGAGAACUUUAACAAAACAUCAGGUAUUAUAAAUAUCUUAUCCUUUUUCAAUGUAAAACUUUCCCCGAGAAGACUGUGAUGCUUACUCUUGUCUCUUAGAUUUGGGUUCCCAAGCAGAAUAAAGGUG